UGGAAGAUUAAAAAAAGAUAAACAAGAAAAACUUCCACACCUGGCCUGUUGGGUUCAAGGGAUUUUGGCCUUGUUGCACCUUUUAAUAAAUUUGAAGCCAUCAAGAUGAUGAACCUGUCUCAAAUCAGCCAACCAAGUUUGCCAGAAAAACUUCUUGGUAAGUAUUACACCCAUUUUAGAUUUCGUCUAAUUUGAGUAAAAUCAAACUCAAACCCAAUUGAUUUCUUUACUUUGAAAAUUGUUCUUGUACUUAUUGUUCAUGUUUUGAUUUUUUCAAAUUUUAGUUCUACAUGAUAGAUAAUGGAUUAUUAGAGUAAAGACGUAGACAAGUCUCGAAAAAAAUUAUGAAUAAAAGUCAACAGAAUAUAUUCAUUUAUUAAUUCAACCGCUUAAAAAAUAAAGAAGAAUCUAUAUUCAUCGUAUAAUUUUCAUCUAGUUAAUUUUUUUUUAACAACUAUCAUUUUUGCUUUUAUACUUAAAAAAAACAUUCAUUUAACACUUUGGAUAAUUUUAAAAUAAAAACACACUUGUGUUUGAUAAUACUUUUACGAACAAACAUCUAUUGUUAUUUGUUAUACACUAAAAUGUUUAUAAUUAGAUUAUUUGUUACACACUAAGGUGUUUAUUAAUUUCUAAUUAUUAUAAAAUUACUUUACCCUUCAUGGUCAAAUGGAAGGAAAAGUCAUGGAAAGUGGUGAUUAGAGGUUGAUGAUGACAAUUGUUCGAGAUGAUAAUCAAAGGGUGUACCAACAAUCAUGUGAAAAAGGUGGUCGAAGGUGGGUUGAUAGGAAAGUGGU
rnacentral:lncRNA from 1 species